GCUCGGGUGGUGGAAUUGGUAGACACGCCAUCUUGAGGGGGUGGUGGCCGUAUGGCCGUGUGGGUUCAAGUCCCACUCCGAGCACCA
rnacentral:tRNA from 1 species